rnacentral:rRNA from 1 species
UACGUAGGGGGCUAGCGUUGUCCGGAAUCAUUGGGCGUAAAGAGCGUGUAGGCGGUCCGGUAAGUCCGCUGUGAAAGUCGGGGGGCUCAACCCUCGAAUGCCGGUGGAUACUGUCGGGCUAGAGUGCGGAAGAGGCGAGUGGAAUUCCUGGUGUAGCGGUUGAAAUGCGCAGAUAUCAGGAGGAACACCUAUUGCGAAGGCGGC